AGUGAACGCUGGCGGUAGGCCUAACACAUGCAAGUCGAACGGCAGCACAGUAAGAGCUUGCUCUUACGGGUGGCGAGUGGCGGACGGGUGAGGAAUACAUCGGAAUCUACUUUUUGGUGGGGGAUAACGUAGGGAAACUUACGCUAAUACCGCAUACGACCUACGGGUGAAAGCAGGGGAUCUUCGGACCUUGCGCGAUUGAAUGAGCGGAUGUCGGAUUAGCUAGUUGGCGGGGUAAAGGCCCACCAAGGCGACGAUCCGUAGCUGGUCUGAGAGGAUGAUCAGCCACACUGGAACUGAGACACGGUCCAGACUCCUCCGGGAGGCAGCAGUGGGGAAUAUUGGACAAUGGGCGCAAGCCUGAUCCAGCCAUACCGCGUGGGUGAAGAAGGCCUUCGGGUUGUAAAGCCCUUUUGUUGGGAAAGAAAAGCAGCAGGUUAAUACCCCGCUGUUCUGACGGUACCCAAAGAAUAAGCACCGGCUAACUUCGUG
rnacentral:rRNA from 1 species